AUAAACGCUGGCGGCGUGCCUAAACACAUGCAAGUCGAACGCCCUACGCAAGUAGGGGAGUGGCGGACGGGUGAGGAACACGUGAGUACCUACCCUUCAGUGAGGAAUACCGGCGAGAAAUCGCCGACAAGACCGCAUACGCUUCGAAAGAGGGAAAGCCCGCAAGGGCGCUGGGAGGAUGGGCUUGCGCCCGAUUAGCUAGUUGGUGGGGUAAGAGCCUACCAAGGCUGCGAUCGGUAGCUGGUCUGAGAGGAUGAUCAGCCACACUGGGAUUGAGAACGGCCCCAGACUCCUACGGGGGGGCAGCAGUGAGGAAUUUUCGUCAAUGGGGGCAACCCUGAACGAGCAACGCCGCGUGCAGGAAGAAGGUCUUCGGAUCGUAAACUGCUUUUCUCUGGGACGAGCAAGGACGGUACCAGAGGAAUCAGCCUCGGCUAACUACGUGCCAGCAGCCGCGGUAAAUACGUAGGAGGCAAGCGUUGUCCGGAGUUACUGGGCGUAAAGCGCACGCAGGCGGUCCAAUCAGUCUGUAGGGACAGGGCACAGCUUAACUGUGUCAGGCUUAUGGAAACUGUUGGACUUGAGGGCUUCAGAGGGAUGGGGAAUUCCGGGGUGGAGUGGUGAAAUGCGUAGAGAUCCGGAAGAACACCAAAGGCGUAGGCACCAUCCUGGGAAGUCACUGACGCUCAUGUGCGAAAGCUAGGGGGAGCGAACGGGAUUAGAUACCCCGGUAGUCCUAGCCGUAAACGAUGACCAUUAGAUGUACGGGGGAUCGACCCCCUUGUGUGUCGAAGCAUACGCGAUAAAAUGGUCCGCCUGGGGAGUACGGUCGCAAGAUUAAAACUCAAAGGAAUUGACGGGGACCCGCACAAGCAGCGGAGCGUGUGGUUUAAUUCGAAAGCAACGCGAAGCACCUUACCAGGGCCUUGACAUGCUUAUCGCACCACGGUGAAAGCCGUGUUCCUUCGGGACGGUAGCACAGGUGCUGCAUGGCUGUCGUCAGCUCGUGUCGUGAGAUGUUGGGUUUAAGUCCCGCAACGAGCGCAAACCCCUAUCGUCGGUUACAGGUUUUCCGGCGAGACUGCCGUGAUCAACGCGGAGAAAGGUGGGGAUGACGUCAAGUCAGCACGGCCCCUUACGUCCUGGGCGACACACACGCUACAAUGGCCGAGACAAAGAGUUGCCAACCCGCGAGGGGGGAGCCAAUCUCGUCAGACUCGGUCUCAGUUCAGAUUGGAGGCUGCAAACCCGCCUCCAUGAAGCCGGAGUUGCUAGUAAACGUAGGUCAGCACACUACGUUGAAUCCGUUCCCGGGUCUUGUACACACCGCCCGUCACACCACGAAAAGUCGGCAACACCUGAAGCCGCUGGGCUAACUCGCCAGAGAGGCAGGCGUCGAGGGUGGGGUCGGUGAUUGGGGUG
rnacentral:rRNA from 1 species